rnacentral:lncRNA from 10 species
ACACACACAGGAGUGAAGGCAGCAGAGCCAAGCAGGAACCCGUCCUGCCCCAGGCCUGAGCUUUCUUAAGAGGCUCAUGGGGCAGAAAGGAGGACACCAGUCAUUGCAUGGAAGGUCCACCCUAACCCAGGAUGACCUCAUCUUAACUAAUUACAUUUGCAAAGACCCUAAGGCACAUUCACAGGGUCAUUGUGCAUUUUUGUUGACUAUUGAUUCUCCCCUUCAUUCAACAACUGUACUGAGGCCAGAUCCCAAACUGAGCUCUGACGAGAUGGAGAAGCAAAGGACACGGUUCCUGCCCCCAAGGAGCUCCCAGACAAGCAGGAGAGAAGGUGGCUCCCAGACAAGCAGGAGAGAAGGCAGCUCCCAGACAAGCAGGAGAGAAGGCCGUGGAAAUGAUCCUUCUGAUACCACAGCCUGCCGAUGUCAUCUAGAACUCUGGGGGAUUGGGGGAAAACGAACAGAACCAGAUUAAAAAAAAAACCCUGUCCUUAGCUAGGUGUGGUGGUGGGCACCUGUUAUCCCAGCUACUUGGGCGGCUGAGGCAGGAGAAUCGCUUGAACCCAGGAGGUGGAGACUGCAGUGAGCCAAGACUGUGCCACUGCACUCCAGCCUGGGUGACAGAGCGAGACUCUGUCUCAAAACAAAAAAUGAAAAACAAAAAUGAAAAAGAAAAACAAAAACCAAACCCUGCCUUGUAAUUUUGACUUUUACUUUAUCCAAGUCAGGACUCCUGGUCUGAAGAAUAUUUGACCUCAUAACUAUUGGGGGACACUGGGGCUCCCUGCCCAGGGACAGGAUGUUCUCUGCAGAUAUCAGGACGUGGGUGCCGAUGACAAGGGCGCUUUGCCGCCAUGGCCCGGGGCUGGAAGCGCAGCUCUCAAAGGUUGGUUGUGAAGCUUCCAGGGGAGAUGGUCCUCUGCAGGAAGAAUAAGAGCCAUCCUGUAGCCUUCGCUGUUCCAGAAGGCUCCGUGGUGAAUACAUAAUUAGGUCCUCUGUAAUUACCAGUUUGAAUCUGCCUAGGACACUAAGGCUCCCACCCCCUAAUUUACCUUAUAAAUUUAUUCUGCUAAAAAAGUCGAAAAUGUCAGUCUUCUGUGAACGCUGCAUAAAUGAAUUAUCUCCCCAUGACAGAAGGUGGGGAGCGGGGAGGCUUCCAGAGGACAUUCCUCACUGUGAGUGUCGGAAAGUGCUCCAUGCUUCGCAAGCACCCAGCAGAGAGCCUAACCAAGCUGCUUCCUGCGCCCACCCCACGGAAGGCCAGGUUCCAGCAGGUUCUGUGUAGCUGGUUAGCCGGUUAGCCAGCCCCAGCAGGGCGAGCAGAGGUGGCUUUAAAAUCAGCCUGUUUGGCAGCUGUGAGAGAGCUUUGCCUUAGCGUGCAGUCCCAGGUAAUGGAGGGCUGCAGACAGAAGGAAAGGAAGGAAAAAGCAUGGCAGCU